UAUGUUCUCUUUCCACCUUUAGUUACCUGUAUUGUAUAAUAAUCCAUUUAUUCAUAAAUUCAACAAAUAUUUAUUGAGUUACUACUACCUGACAGAAACUUCUAGGUACUGAGGAUCCAUUACUCAACAGAGCAGACAGUGCUCUUGUCCUAAUAGGCAUUAUAAUUUAAGAGUUAAACUCAUUAUAGGAGGGAAGUCUUCUCACACAGAUGACACUUCCAGCAUGAGUUGCAUCAUAUCUCUCUUGUCACCCCAAGGAAGCGUUUGAAGAUUCAGCACAAUCGAAACUAAAACCUGUUUCUCAUAUGCUGAUGUUUGGGAUUUUGUUUUUUAAUGCAUCAAUUUUUAUCAUGAAAGAAAAUGAGAAUGGAAUUUCUGAAGGUUCAAGGAAAAAAACCCAGGAUAGAAAUAUGUAAAGGAAAGGAAUAUAGGAGUCAAGGAAGAAUGGAGUGCAGGAAGUCAGGGUCAAUGGGAGGCUCCGGGGUGUGACCUUGGCUCCAGGACCUUAUCUGUCUACCGCUAACAGCGUUGGUCUAUGCCCAGGACUUUCAUCUGAAACUGCUGUCUCCAUUUAGUCUCCCCAAUUCCUGACUACAAGUGUUAUCUUCUUCAUUUAGAAUGGUGAUUUUAUUUAUCAAGGUAAGGUUUUGCUCUUAAAACUUCUCAGCUUCAUAUCUCAGAAGUUCAACUUUUGCCAUAUCUCACAUCAUGUAAUUUGCAUCUUGUCUCAGGUCCUUCUUUCCUCAAGGGUAUACACAUUUUCUUUGGUUGGAGUAAUAACGUUUUAAUGUGUUUGUUUGUUUGUUUGUUUGUUUUUGUCAGCUCUUGCAACUAUUUUCUUUAGUUCCAACUCUGUAGUUAGGGCCUGACACUAAAAUGUUCAUUCUUGAAGGAGUGGAAAAACAUUUUCCUUCAGUAUAAUUUUAUUUUGUACUCUUUACUUUUCUUGAUUUGUAGUUCCAUGUAACUAGAAAUCUUCCUGUGGGGUUUAUAAGAGCCAUGUAUUCCCCUGCUCAAGGUACUAGUUUUUGUGUUUAAAUUCUUCUAUUAUAUGGUGGACACUUAUAACUUUGGACACAAACUCUUCCUGUGUCUGAUUAAGUUCAAGUACAUUUCAUCAAGUUUGACUUCCAGGUUAUCUAAAUGGACUUUUCAUUAGAAGAAUCAAUUACACUUCA
rnacentral:lncRNA from 1 species